UACGUAGGUGGCAAGCGUUGUCCGGAUUUACUGGGCGUAAAGAGCGCGCAGGCGGUCGUCCAAGUCGCGUGUGAAAGCCCCCGGCUCAACUGGGGAGGGUCACGCGAUACUGGUCGACUCGAAGGCAGGAGAGGGUAGUGGAAUUCCCGGUGUAGUGGUGAAAUGCGUAGAUAUCUGGAGGAACACCGGUGGCGAAGGCGGCAUCCUGGACCAAUUCUGACGCUGAGGAGCGAAAGCCAGGGGAGCAAACGGG
rnacentral:rRNA from 1 species